rnacentral:miRNA from 2 species
UGAGUCGCUCUUAUCACUCAUG